GACGAACGCUGGCGGCGUGCUUAACACAUGCAAGUCGAACGGAAAGGCCCCUUUAGCGUUCCUCGAGUGGCGACCGGGUGCGUAACACUUGGGUAACCUUCCCUUUCCUUUUUGUCAUCUUCAGGAAAGUGGGGCUAAUACCGGUUAUGCAUCCUUCCUCCAUGGUGGGGGUUCGAAAGCUCUUGCGGCCUUGGAUGGAUUGGCGGCCUAUCAGCUUGUUGGUGGGAUAGUGGCUUACCAAGGCACUGACGCGUAGCCGGACAGAGAGGGCGACCGGCGACAUUGAGACUGAGGUGCGGCACAGGCUGCGAAGGGAGGCAGAAGGGGGGAAGAUUGAACAAGGGGCGGAGGCCUGAUGCAGAAAGGCCGCGGGCGGGAUGACGGCCUUCGGGUUGAAAACAGCUUGCAGCAGGGGCGAAGCUUGUGGUGACGGUACCUGCAGAAGAAGCACCGGCUAACUACGUG
rnacentral:rRNA from 1 species